CCUACGGGGGGCUGCAGUGAGGAAUAUUGGUCAAUGGACGAGAGUCUGAACCAGCCAAGUAGCGUGAAGGAUGACUGCCCUAUGGGUUGUAAACUUCUUUUAUAUGGGAAUAAAAUGUUCCACGUGUGGGAUUUUGUAUGUACCAUAUGAAUAAGGAUCGGCUAACUCCGUGCCAGCAGCCGCGGUGAUACGGAGGAUCCGAGCGUUAUCCGGAUUUAUUGGGUUUAAAGGGAGCGUAGGUGGAUUGUUAAGUCAGUUGUGAAAGUUUGCGGCUCAACCGUAAAAUUGCAGUUGAAACUGGCAGUCUGGAGUACAGUAGAGGUGGGCGGAAUUCGUGGUGUAGCGGUGAAAUGCUUAGAUAUCACGAAGAACUCCGAUUGCGAAGGCAGCUCACUGGACUGCAACUGACACUGAGGCUCGAAAGUGUGGGUAUCAAACAGGAUUAGAUACCCCGGUAGUC
rnacentral:rRNA from 1 species